rnacentral:lncRNA from 1 species
AACUCUUGCCCAACUGGGCCCAUCCUGAUGACCCUAUCGCGAAGGUGUCCAAAUUCCCCAAAGAUCGGGCUGAUGCUUUCAAAGCUUUUUACAAGAAGUGGAGCAAGACCGAAUGGAGUUUGGCUGUUUUAUCCAACGAGGCCUGGUUGUACAAACACGGGUGUAAGCGUACUAUCCCGAAGCUCUUCUGAAUACCUUUAAC